rnacentral:tRNA from 1 species
GGGCCCGUAGCUCAGCUGGGAGAGCGUUGCACUGGCAGUGCAAAGGUCGGCGGUUCGAUCCCGCUCGGGUCCACCA